CCUACGGGUGGCUGCAGUAGGGAAUCUUCGGCAAUGGACGAAAGUCUGACCGAGCAACGCCGCGUGAGUGAAGAAGGUUUUCGGUUGGAAAACUUCGUUUUUUAGAAAAGAAAAGGGUGGAGGUAAAUGGUUCCCCCCUUACCGUUAUUUACCAGAAAGCCAAGGCCAAACACGGUCCCGCAACCGCCGGUAAUCGUAAGUUCCCGACGGUUGCCGGGUUUAUUGGGCGUAAAGCGAGCGCAGGUGGUUUAUUAAGUCUGGUGUAAAAGGCAGUGGCUCAACCAUUGUAUGCAUUGGAAACUGGUAGACUUGAGUGCAGGAGAGGAGAGUGGAAUUCCAUGUGUAGCGGUGAAAUGCGUAGAUAUAUGGAGGAACACCGGUGGCGAAAGCGGCUCUCUGGCCUGUAACUGACACUGAGGCUCGAAAGCGUGGGGAGCAAACAGGAUUAGAUACCCUUGUAGUC
rnacentral:rRNA from 1 species